rnacentral:lncRNA from 9 species
AUGGUUUUUUUUUUUUUUUUUUCUUCCAGAGGUGGCCCUGGCAGUCACAGUUCAAAGGCCCCUUCAUUCAGUGAACCCCCAGCUCUGGGCUGCCCCAAGCUGGGCAACCAGCUUGAGAAGUGUGGCACCAAGGGCAGGUGGAGAGGGAGUGUGGAGACGAAGGGUCAGAGCUGGUGCAAGGUCAAAGUCAUGAUGCUGAUGAGUGGGGGGCUGCCAGCCCCUGGGGCCAAGACCAUUGGACAGACUCAGAGUUCCAGGGUGAGAAUCAUGCUGAACCAACCAGUGCUGAAGAAAGAGCCUGAGGGCCUCUGGUUCGCUCCAGUCUCUCCCUGGAAGACCUGGUCUCAGCCGACCAUCCUGCGCUCAGCAGAGGCAGGACACCUGCAGGCCCGGGUACAUGCUGAGCUGCUGCAGUGCGCUCCUCUUUUUCUCUGUGCUGGUCUUACGCUAGUAGUGCAGCAGCGCAUGCGCCCUCGGGUGGAAGAUGACCGCCGGGUGCUGCACCGGCCCACGUCUGUCUCCUGGCUCACGCACCGCACACACUCAACGCCACGGAUCUUGGCGCCCAGUCCCAAGCGCAGCAUCAAGCGGGAGCAGGACACCUCUGCGCAGCGCAGGGCUCUCCGACCAGCAGCUUCCCAUCUGGCAGCUGCUGUAUCCACUAAAGUGCAGGGGCUCCUUUACAGUGGGCCUGGAGUUGAUGGAGACGAGAGGGGAUCCAGGCAGAGGGCCAGGCAGAAGGCUGGAGGCCCAAUAGCACAGCAGGAUGAAGCCCAAGGAGGAGAGGAUGGUGAGUAG